ACUCAAAGGAAUAGACGGGGGCCCGCACAAGCAGCGGAGCGUGUGGUUUAAUUCGAGGCAACGCGAAGAACCUUACCUAGGCUUGACAUGGGAGUGGUAGGGAACCGAAAGGGGACCGACCUUCGGGAGCUUCCACAGGUGCUGCAUGGCUGUCGUCAGCUCGUGCCGUGAGGUGUUAGGUUAAGUCCUGUAACGAGCGCAACCCUCGCUGCCAGUUACAAGUGUCUGGCGGGACUGCCGGUGACAAACCGGAGGAAGGUGGGGAUGACGUCAAGUCAGCAUGGCCUUUAUGUCUAGGGCGACACACACGCUACAAUGGCGCGUACAGAGGGAUGCCAAAGCGCGAGCUGGAGCUAAUCUCACAAAGCGCGUCGUAGUUCGGAUUGUAGGCUGCAACUCGCCUGCAUGAAGCCGGAGUUGCUAGUAACCGCAGGUCAGCCACACUGCGGUGAAUACGUUCCCGGGCCUUGCACACACCGCCCGU
rnacentral:rRNA from 1 species